AACGCGAAGAACCUUACCCAGGUUAGAAGUGCAGUGGAAGUUGCCAGAGAUGGCAACGCUCGUAAGGGCCGCUGUAUAGGUGCUGCAUGGCUGUCGUCAGCUCGUGCCGUGAGGUGUUGGGUUAAGUCCCGCAACGAGCGCAACCCUUAUCAUUAGUUGCCAACACGUAAUGGUGGGAACUCUAGUGAGACUGCCUAGGUUAACUAGGAGGAAGGUGAGGAUGAUGUCAAGUCCGCAUGGCCUUUAUGUCUGGGGCUACACACGUGCUACAAUGGUCGGUACAGAAGGAAGCGAAAUCGCAAGGUGAAGCAAAUCCCUAAAGCCGAUCUCAGUUCGGAUUGUAGUCUGCAACUCGGCUACAUGAAGUCGGAAUUGCUAGUAAUGGCGUGUCAGCAACAGCGCCGUGAAUACGUUCCCGGGCCUGUACACACCGGAGUA
rnacentral:rRNA from 1 species